UAAUGAUGAGAUUUACCUGACUAUAGCUGGAAUUACCGGCAGACUGCAGGUGGUGAGAAUGGUCUAUCUGAGC